GCCUUCGUGGUGUAGUGGUUAGCAUGCUCGACGCGUAACCGAGAGGUCCGUGGUUCGAUUCUCGGCGAAGGCG
rnacentral:tRNA from 1 species